rnacentral:rRNA from 1 species
GACGAACGCUGGCGGCGUGCCUAAUACAUGCAAGUCGAACGCAUUUUCUUUCACCGUAGCUUGCUACACCGAAAGAAAAUGAGUGGCGAACGGGUGAGUAACACGUGGGUAACCUGCCCAUCAGCGGGGGAUAACACUUGGAAACAGGUGCUAAUACCGCAUAAUUCCAUUUACCGCAUGGUAAAUGGAUGAAAGGCGCUUUUGCGUCACUGAUGGAUGGACCCGCGGUGCAUUAGCUAGUUGGUGGGGUAACGGCCUACCAAGGCUGCGAUGCAUAGCCGACCUGAGAGGGUGAUCGGCCACACUGGGACUGAGACACGGCCCAGACUCCUACGGGAGGCAGCAGUAGGGAAUCUUCGGCAAUGGACGCAAGUCUGACCGAGCAACGCCGCGGGAGUGAAGAAGGUUUUCGGAUCGUAAAACUCUGUUGCUAGAGAAGAACAAGGAUGAGAGUGGAAAGUUCAUCCCUUGACGGUAUCUAACCAGAAAGCCACGGCUAACUACGUG